rnacentral:rRNA from 1 species
GAUGAACGCUGGCGGCGUGCUUAACACAUGCAAGUCGAACGGUGAAGCAGAGCUUGCUCUGUGGAUCAGUGGCGAACGGGUGAGUAACACGUGAGCAACCUGCCCUGGACUCUGGGAUAAGCGCUGGAAACGGCGUCUAAUACUGGAUACGAGACGUGGCCGCAUGGUCGACGUUUGGAAAGAUUUUUUGGUUCAGGAUGGGCUCGCGGCCUAUCAGCUUGUUGGUGAGGUAAUGGCUCACCAAGGCGUCGACGGGUAGCCGGCCUGAGAGGGUGACCGGCCACACUGGGACUGAGACACGGCCCGGACUCCUACGGGAGGCAGCAGUGGGGAAUAUUGCACAAUGGGCGAAAGCCUGAUGCAGCAACGCCGCAUGAGGGAUGACGGCCUUCGGGUUGUAAACCUCUUUUAGCAAGGAAGAAGCGAAAGUGACGGUACUUGCAGAAAAAGCGCCUGCUAACUACGUGCCAGCCGCCGCUGUAAAAC